rnacentral:rRNA from 1 species
CGGGACGGGUGAGUAAUGUAUGGGGAUCUGCCUGAUGGCGGGGGAUAACUACUGGAAACGGUAGCUAAUACCGCAUAAUGUCUACGGACCAAAGCGGGGGACCUCCGGGCCUUGCGCCAUCAGAUGAACCCAUAUGGGAUUAGCUAGUAGGUGGGGUAACGGCUCACCUAGGCGACGAUCCCUAGCUGGUCUGAGAGGAUGACCAGCCACACUGGAACUGAGACACGGUCCAG